UAAAGUGAAAGUAAUGCUACUGUAUGACCUUGAAGAGGAAUUAGAAGAAGAAGAACUCAUAUAGCAGGAUUUCUAGACUUUGUUCCAUUGUGCGCAAACGCAGGCAGCCAGGGCGCCGAGGAAAGCAGGUGUCUCUCCUGCCCCAUGAGGCAGAGCUGUUAGCGGGGAUAGGGGAGGAUGAGAUUACCCAGCUCCAGGCUCAUCAAGAUCGUAUCAAGGCCCAGCGCCACCGGAAGAGGAGGGCGGAGGAGCAGGAGUCCUCCACUUCAUCAUCAAGCAAUCAAGAUGAAUUGUUCAUUUUUGACCUCCACGCAGUGGACGAAGGCCUGGACCUGGACGCGUCUGGUUCGGCUCACCAUUCUUCCUCCCCAGCAGUUUCUCCGGCACAUCAUCUCCUCCACCCUUCAGCAUCCCCCUACCUGGGCAUA